rnacentral:rRNA from 1 species
GACGAACGCUGGCGGCGUGCUUAACACAUGCAAGUCGAACGGACAGGCCCUGCUUUUGUGGGGUGCUCGAGUGGCGAACGGGUGAGUAAAACGUGAGUAACCUGCCCUUGUCUUUGGGAUAACUUCAGGAAACUGGGGCUAAUACCGGAUAUGAGCUCCUGCUGCACGGUGGGGGUUGGAAAGUUUCGGCGGUUGGGGAUGGACUAGCGGCUUCUCCGCUUGUUGGUGGGGUAGUGGAUUACCAAGGCUUUGACGGGUAGCCGGCCUGGGAGGGUGACCGGCCACAUUGCGACUGCGGUACGGCCCAGACUCCUACGGGAGGCAGCAGUGGGGAAUAUUGCGCAAUGGGCGGAAGCCUGAUGCAGCAACGCCGCGUGCGGGAUGACGGCCUUCUGGUUGUAAACCGCUUUCGCCUGUGACGAAGCGUGAGUGACGGUAAUGAGUAAAGAAGCACCGGCUAACUACGUG